rnacentral:lncRNA from 10 species
CAGAUUUCUAUGCCAACCAGAAGAUGGAUGGAUGUCAAGACAGAUGGUGGAAAAGUUGUGAGAUGCAAAGCCUCAUGGUACAGCAGUCACCUUGCAAUCAUGAAGAUAAAAGCCACAAAGAAUGGUAGCUCAGAAGGUGGAAGGACUCUGCAUAGUUGAAGACACUAUGAUUAGAUGUAUCAGCCCUGGACUUAAGUACCUCUGCUUUUCUUAAUAGGAGAAAAAUAACCCUCUUCCUUCCUUAUGCCAAUCUUCUCGAGUUCCUUGCUACUUGCAGCUGAGUCCACUCUUGACUGAUAUCACCUAAUCUCAGUCGCUAUCAGAUUAAACAACAGCAUUACUUUCAGAGGGCCACCAAGAAAAAAUUGCCUGGGAGAAGAGUAAGGAGCCUGAAGAUCUGACUAACUUUCUCUGUAGCCCUUUACCGAAUAGCAGAUUAGCUGAGCUCAUAUGAUCGUAUCAACUAGUCAUCACCUUGAUUAGAACACAGAAGAAGUAAGUGUUCGUGGAUUCAAACUGAAGAGUCGGAUGGAGGAGUGUCAAGGACCUGUCAUCAUAAGGAGGCAGAAAGUGAGAGGGUAUCUUUAACUAUAAGUGAUGGUUUUAUAAAGUAGAUGCACAGUUUUAGAAAGUAGGAAACCCACUACAAAUGAAGUGUCUGAACAUAUAGUCCAGAAGGUGUCUGGUUUAAACAAAAAAG